GCAGCAUGAUGUUUUACAAAGCAGAGUGAAACGUGAAAUACUUGUAAAGCAUACAGGAAAUGCGAUUUUGAAUUAGAACAAUGCCAUAUAUAUAGUUGUUUAUCCUUUUACGUCCAUUUGAGAUCAUUUUUUACUUGAAUUUAAACUGGAAAAUUGUAUCCAUGGCUCCAGUUAAUCUGAUUUUUUUUUAUUAACAUAAGGAGUUUCAUAUACAUGUAUGCAAGAUUUGAAUCCAAUGCUCAAUGGCCAAGCUGGUAUGGAGGACCCCCCCCCCCACGAACUUCUCUUCACAAAAUUUGUAGGCAUUUAAAUUAAUCUGGCAUAUGUCCACAAUGGAAAUAGCUCUAGCCCCGAUAGUCGAUUUAAAGACAAACGUACGAAUUCAUUCAGCCGAGUACUUUUAUUUGUUUACGGUUGAUUAAAGAUGGGUACAGGCCGUCGUAGAUAAAAUGUUUACAUCGCAUUUUAAAUAGUUACCGUUUACGUGUAUAGAAUUGGAAAUGCUAUUUGAUCUGCACACGAAUGAACACUUCUUGUCGUAAUUUCCCGGUUCUAAGAAAACCGACCAAGUCUCAUGAUAAAUACUUACAUGAAACAAUUUUCUCCAAGACUGCAAAAUGACAUGACAACGAACUAGGACAACUCCAGAUUAACUUCCAGGUCACGUGGGAAAAGAAAACAAAGCAGAGAAAACCAGCUGUAACAAAGCCAAAUUGAAAACACACACAACCAACAGAGAAGACGUUUGUGAUGGACAGGAACAAAAGCAAACUUCUCAGAAUUAAAUGAUAAAAUAUCGGAUGAAAUGAUGAUCAACAGAAAUCAGAUAUUAUUGUUUAGUCAGGUAUAUAUUCUGCUACGCAAUUAUAAAAUGUAUUGCGAAGAAAUUUCUUGAUUCAUAUUUUUUUAUGAGUAUAUAUGUCACGAUGUGAAAUUUAAUUUUUCGGACUUGUUUAAUUAUUGUACAUGUGUAAAUUAACUUUUUCGGACUUUGCAUUAAUUGCUACAAAAACUGUUCUUCUAUUUUGACAACUGUUUUGAAACCGUUUUAAAAUCCGCGCAGCCUUGAUCCCACCUGAGACACAGUCAGAGAUGGACACAUCAUCCUUCAUCUUAUUAAUCCUUUUAUGUACAUGUUGCUUAAAUGUCAUGAUUGUACAACUGUUCAUGUGUAUUAUUUACCAUUAGAGAACUAUCUGUUGAAUGGAAUUUUGUCAUCUUCACCCCUAUUUCAAUUUUGUAUAGGCAACAAAUAAUUUAUAAGUAACACACCGGUACAUUUCAAAUUCUUAUAUCUUUUGCCUUCAUAUAAAACAAAUUUACCAAUUAGAUCAAACAAUAUUAUAGAGACUUGUUUUCACCAGUCUAAAAAACGGCCUUGGGACCCUUCACGUACUGCAGACAAUAGCUUUUGAAUUGAAUUUUCUCAUCUUCUUUCCUAUUUCAAUUCUGUAUAAUAGGCAUGUAAUGAUUUAUAAGUUACAUACAUUAAGUUUUCAUAUUCUUAUAUCUUUUUGGUUCAUGUUAAUAAAUUUUAAAACAAUAAA